GCCAGCAUGGUGUAAUGGUUUGAGUGUUGGACUAUGACUCUGAAGACCAGGGUUUGAAUCCCUGCUCUGCCA
rnacentral:tRNA from 1 species